UGGGGAAUUUUGGACAAUGGGCGCAAGCCUGAUCCAGCCAUGCCGCGUGCAGGAUGAAGGCCUUCGAGUUGUAAACUGCUUUUGUACGGAACGAAAAGGUGCCUUCUAAUAAAGGGCGCUCAUGACGGUACCGUAAGAAUAAGCACUGGCUAACUACGUGCCAGCAGCCGCGGUAAUACGUAGGGUGCGAGCGUUAAUCGGAAUUACUGGGCGUAAAGCGUGCGCAGGCGGUUUUGUAAGACAGAGGUGAAAUCCCCGGGCUCAACCUGGGAACUGCCAUUGGGACUGCCAGGCUGGAGGACGGCAGAGGGCGAUGGAAUUCCGCGUGUAGCAGUGAAAUGCGUAGAGAUGUGGAGGAA
rnacentral:rRNA from 1 species